rnacentral:siRNA from 1 species
UGAUAAAUGACGUCUUCUCCUG